rnacentral:rRNA from 1 species
AGUCGAGCGAGGUCCAUCCAGUGGUAACACUGGUGAAGACCUAGCGGCGAACGGGUGAGUAACACGUGAGAAACCUGCCCCGAAGACUGGGAUAACUCUCCGAAAGGAGAGCUAAUACCAGAUGCCCUCACCGGGCCGCAUGACUUGGUGAGGAAAUGGAUUCCGCUUCGGGAGGGUCUCGCGGCCUAUCAGCUUGUUGGUGAGGUAACGGCUCACCAAGGCUUCGACGGGUAGCUGGUCUGAGAGGAUGAUCAGCCACACUGGGACUGAGACACGGCCCAGACUCCUACGGGAGGCAGCAGUGGGGAAUCUUGCGCAAUGGGCGAAAGCCUGACGCAGCAACGCCGCGUGGGGGAUGAAGGCUCUCGGGUUGUAAACCCCUUUCAGCAGGGAAGAUUAUGACGGUACCUGCAGAAGAAGCCCCGGCCAACUACGUGCCAGCAGCCGCGGUAAUACGUAGGGGGCAAGCGUUGUCCGGAUUUAUUGGGCGUAAAGAGCUUGUAGGCGGCUUGGUAAGUCGAGUGUGAAAACUCCAGGCUCAACCUGGAGACGCCAUUCGAUACUGCCAUGGCUAGAGUCCGGUAGAGGAGCACGGAAUUCCUGGUGUAGCGGUGAAAUGCGCAGAUAUCAGGAGGAACACCAGCAGCGAAGGCGGUGCUCUGGGCCGGUACUGACGCUGAGAAGCGAAAGCGUGGGGAGCGAACAGGAUUAGAUACCCUGGUAGUCCACGCCGUAAACGUUGGGCACUAGGUGUGGGUCCCUACCGACGGGAUCUGUGCCGUAGCUAACGCAUUAAGUGCCCCGC